rnacentral:sRNA from 1 species
GCGUGUCUAUGCUAGAAGCUACAUACUGCGGUUGUUACCCCAUUGCCCCUAAUAAGCUGGUAUACCCAGAAAUCUAUCCCAAGCGGCUACCUAUCAUGAAGCUUAAGUUGUUAUACACAUCAUACAGUGUAAAAAUCUUGCUGAACGUUUAUAUGUAAUGACUGCAUCUUUCAAGUGGCGAUGCAAUUACUGCACCAUCAAGUGGCCCGUGUGAAACCAGCAGAAAACGCAGCCCUCGAACGCGAACAUGCAGGAAAGAAAGCUUUUAUACUAAUAUGCGAGGAAUAUGAAAACUAAACUUACUAAGAGAACUAAGCAUGCAUUCAAAAUACCAAAACAAGUAAAAUUGCUAAUUACGAGAAAGGUA